UGCGUGUGCAUGAGAAGCAUUAACAUGUAACGUGUACGUCUUGCCACCCUUGGCAAAUGCAUCUUAAACAAUAUACUUGCCAAAAUAGUGUUGCUGGUAAUGAUCACCAAUAUCUAUAUCUAAGAAUUAUUGCUCUUAUCUAUUUUAGCAACUAAUUUGGGGCCCUAAAAAAACCACACUUGUAUCCUGAACAGUAGAAUAGGUUUUAACUUGUAUCCUUGUACUUCACGAUGGAUUUCAUAUUUGUUUUUAAGAAAAAAAGGAGGAAGAAAACUCUCUCCUUGACUAAUUUGCAACUUAUUAUUUUUUAUUCUAUCCAUCAAGUCCAUUCUACUCCUCAUUUGCCCUAGCCUUUGUAUUCCUUGCUUGAUUCCUUUGACAUACCCAUGAUCACUAGGAGUAUAGCUUUGAUGCUGAACAAAUCAUCAGUAAUAAUUUAAAUAUUCUUUCGAGGGCCUGCCAAAUUUGGUUUGGUUC
rnacentral:lncRNA from 1 species